rnacentral:rRNA from 1 species
GUAGGGAGCAAGCGUUGUUCGGGAAUUAUUGGGCGUAAAGAGCGCGUAGGCGGCCAGGUAAGUCUGAUGUGAAAUCCCACAGCUCAACUGUGGAACUGCAUUGGAAACUGCUUGGCUAGAGUGCGGGAGAGGAGAGUGGAAUUCCCAGUGUAGAGGUGAAAUUCGUAGAUAUUGGGAGGAACACCAGUGGCGAAGGCGGCUCUCUGGACCGCAACUGACGCUGAGGCGCGAAAGCUAGGGGAGCGAACGGGAUUAGAUACCCCGGUAGUCCUAGCCGUAAACGAUGGGCACUAGGUGUAGGAGGUAUCGACCCCUUCUGUGCCGUAGCUAACGCAUUAAGUGCCCCGCCUGGGGAGUACGGUCGCAAGACUA